GAGGAAAAGAAACCAACAGGGAUUGCCUUAGUAACGGCGAGUGAAGCGGCAAAAGCUCAAAUUUGAAAUCGGCCCCCAGGUCGAGUUGUAAUUUGUAGAUUGUAUCUUGAGAGCGGAUUAAAGUCUGUUGGAACACAGCGCCUUAGAGGGUGACAGCCCCGUAAAAUCUAUUCUCAUUGUAAGAUACUUUCGAAGAGUCGAGUUGUUUGGGAAUGCAGCUCUAAGUGGGAGGUAAAUUCCUUCUAAAGCUAAAUAUUGACGAGAGACCGAUAGCGAACAAGUACUGUGAAGGAAAGAUGAAAAGCACUUUGAAAAGAGAGUGAAAAAGUACGUGAAAUUGUUAAAAGGGAAGGGUAUUGAAUCAGACUUGGUGCUGUUGUUCAACUGUGUUUNGGCAYNGUGUACUCAGCAGUACUAGGCCAAGGUGGGGUGUUUGGGAGUGAAAAAGAAGUNGGAACGUAACUCUUCGGAGUGUUAUAGCCUACUUUCAUAGCUCCUCAGGCGCCUCAGGACUGCGCUUCGGCAAGGA
rnacentral:rRNA from 1 species